rnacentral:rRNA from 1 species
UAAUCUGCCUUGGAGUGGGGAAUAACGGCUGGAAACAGCCGCUAAUACCGCAUGAAACAGUUGGGAGGCAUCUCUCUGACUGUCAAAGAUUUAUCGCUCUGAGAUGAGCUCGCGUCUGAUUAGCUAGUUGGCGGGGCAACGGCCCACCAAGGCGACGAUCAGUAGCCGGACUGAGAGGUUGGCCGGCCACAUUGGGACUGAGACACGGCCCAGACUCCUACGGAAGGCAGCAG